rnacentral:rRNA from 1 species
UACGUAGGUGGCAAGCGUUGUCCGGAAUUAUUGGGCGUAAAGCGCGCGCAGGCGGUCCUUUAAGUCUGAUGUGAAAGCCCACGGCUCAACCGUGGAGGGUCAUUGGAAACUGGGGGACUUGAGUACAGAAGAGAAGAGUGGAAUUCCACGUGUAGCGGUGAAAUGCGUAGAGAUGUGGAGGAACACCAGUGGCGAAGGCGACUCUUUGGUCUGUAACUGACGCUGAGGCGCGAAAGCGUGGGGAGCGAACCGG